GUUAGCUUCAGGCCCCACUGAGGAGAAGUGUGAAGUUAGAAAGCUGAUGAAGCCAUUUCCUGCUUUAAUUAUUAUAUUCUGUUUUGCACAGAGAAUAAAUCCUGGUUGGCAAGA